CCGUGCGAUCACCGAAGUUAAGCAACGUUGUGCAUGCUCAGUAGUUCAAUGAGUGGCCGCUUGGGAAUACCAGGUGUUGUG